rnacentral:rRNA from 1 species
ACUCCUGCGGGAGGCAGCAGUGGGGAAUUUUGAACAAUGGGCGAAAGCCUGAUCCAGCAAUGCCGCGUACAGGAUGAAGGCCUUCGGGUUGUAAACUGCUUUUGUACGGAACGAAAAAGCUCCUUCUAAUACAGGGGGCCCAUGACGGUACCGUAAGAAUAAGCACCGGCUAACUACGUGCCAGCAGCCGCGGUAAUACGUAGGGUGCGAGCGUUAAUCGGAAUUACUGGGCGUAAAGCGUGCGCAGGCGGUUAUGUAAGACAGAUGUGAAAUCCCCGGGCUCAACCUGGGAACUGCAUUUGUGACUGCAUGGCUAGAGUACGGUAGAGGGGGAUGGAAUUCCGCGUGUAGCAGUGAAAUGCGUAGAUAUGCGGAGGAACACCGAUGGCGAAGGCAAUCCCCUGGACCUGUACUGACGCUCAUGCACGAAAGCGUGGGGAGCAAACAGGAUUAGAAACCCUGAGUAGUCCCAUG